rnacentral:tRNA from 1 species
CGAGCCAUCUGGCGUAAAAGAACCUCAAGUUCCCCUACCACGGUUCAAUUCCAUGGCCCGCUCAC